rnacentral:rRNA from 1 species
GAGAGUUAAACAGUACGUGAAAUUGUUGAAAGGGAAACGAUUAAAGUCAGUCGUACCUACGAGUAAUCAACCUACACGAGCGCGAUUUUGUGGGUAUGAGGAGGUAAAAACCUUCAUGCUUGCUAAUUGGUGUUCUUUGGGCGUACUUUCUCGUAUGGUUGGUUAACAUCAAUUUCGAUCGUUAUAAAAUGACGGGAGGAAUGUAGCUUCGACUUCGGUUGAAGUGUUAUAGCCUCUGGUAGAUGUAAUGAUUGGGAUUGAGGAUUGCAACGGAUACCCUCUGGGCUAUUCGUCUGAUCUCUGGAAGUUACCUUGGUGUCGAAAGCGUGCUUAUGACAUUAAGAAUGACGGCCAAAAGGUUAGAACGGAAUUAAAUUCGUUAAGGAUGUUGACGUAAUGGCUUUAAACGA